GAUGAACGCUGGCGGCGUGCUUAACACAUGCAAGUCGAACGGAAAGGCCCAAGCUUUCUUGGGUGCUCGAGUGGCGAACGUGUGAGUAACACGUGCGUAAUCUGCCCUGCACUUCGGGAUAACCCUAGGAAACUGGGUCUAAUACCGGAUAGGACCAUCUUUUGGAUGGCAUUGUGUAGAAAUUUUUCGGUGGGGGAUGAACUCGCGGCCUAUCACCUUGUUGGGGGGGUAGUGGCCUACGCAGGCUCUUACGGGUAGCCGGCCUGAGCGGGUGAGCGGCCACAGUGGGACUGAGAUGCGGCACAGACUCAUGCGGGGGGCAGCAGUGGAGAAUAGUGCACAGUGGGCGGGAGCCAGGCGCAGCCACGCCGCGUGCGGGAUGACGGCCUUCGGUUUGUAAUCCGCUUUCGCCUGUGAAGGAGCGUGAGUGACGGUAAUGGGUGAAGAAGCACCGGCUAACUACGUG
rnacentral:rRNA from 1 species